GCUGCGGGCCGCGCGCACAGCUAACCGGCUGCCCUGCCGAGUCCCCGGCGCUGCGCGGCCGCCGCGGGCUCCUCAGCGAGAAGCGGCCUGCGGGCGGCGGAGGGCGGAGGAGUGAGCGCGGGGCGGAGCCCUUCGCCCACAGGUUUCCUCAGGCCUCGGGCGCCGGGCCGCCCCGGGACGCUGAGCGGGCCCUCGGGGGAUGCUCGGCGGCGAACGGCCCCGACGACGCCGAGGGCGCAGGUGGGGCCGCCGCCCGGCGAGAGGCCGGGGCCUCUGUCUGGAAGCGGGAACCCAGCUCGAGUGGCGACCGUGGGCCCGUCCCCCCCGUCCGCCGGCGCCUCCUGUGAAGGGAGGCCGAGGACAGAGGCGAGACGGAGUUCCUGCUGCCCUGGGCUCAGUAACUCGCUGCAGGCCUGGGGUGUCGUCGCCCUCGCCGCACACCGAGCAGCCGCGUGUUUCCUCCUCGAGCGAAGCACCGCAGCCUGAGGAGUUGAGGAUUUUGAGCAGUAGAGGGCAAGACGGGGAGCGCUCGAUGUAAAACCGACCUUACUUUCAUCGACAUAACUCGGCAGAGCUGCCAGACGUACAGAAUGGCCUUGGGGAAGCGAGAGGGGCCCACCCUAGGGACAGGAAGAUCCUAAUGAGCUAGAGGACACUGGGAUUCAGAGUAUUGCCAAGUAGAAAACAUAGGACGCUAUUCUAGAAUGCUGAUUUGUGCUUCUAUCAAAAAGAGUUGAGGAGAAGUGUAGCAAGAAUUGGUAACCAGAAGUGUCAUCUUUCCAGCAGUUUUUCACUGUAGCUCAGAACACGAGACAUUUUUUGCUGGAAGUCGGAGAGAUGGGGACAUCUGUGCAGCUCUAAGAGAGAAAGGAGCCCUCCCAUCACAUCUCGUGGCUGUAUCUAUAAAGAGUGCGACAGAUAAUACCAGUGACAGUGCUUUGUGCAUGAGACAUGAUGUCACACAGAGCAGCACAGGCUUUCUGGGUCCAAGCCACAUGGCAGCAACGGUGGGCCGACACCAUCCUACUCUUGUGACCCAAGAGUCCAGGCGCCAUGAAACAACUUCCUCCCAAAGGCAGACAGGGCUCACUGUUUUCCAUCUCACUAUUUAUAUCAAUACCGCUGUAAAAAAUAUGCAAUAAGAAUGUGCCAAAUGACAUCCUCAUCAUGCCAUUUUAGUCCCAGCCCUGCUCCUUGUCUUCUGGUCUCCAGCUUAGCAAAGUCACAAACAUUUCCUGUGCUCUGGACUUGGAACCUGUCAUUAUCAUCUUAAAGGCUGAACAACAGACAGACCUUCCAAAGGUAAAGGAGAAAAGAAGGCCCAAGGAACUGAGGAUGAACUUGGUAAUAACAGCUUUGCAAUACUUAUACACCACAGAAGGGCCCUGGGAGUUUUAACUUCGGGAUUGUUUACAUGGACAGACAGCUUCUGUUAUGGCAGAACAGACAUCCUUUGCACAGCAGCAUCUGACUUGAAAAUGUUCUUAGAGAGCGCUUAUUAGGUACCAGUUCCGUAUUGGGCAUUAUGAGACAGCAGUUCCCUGAGAGUCUUACCAGCCUAUUAGGAAAUCAGGACUCAGAGCAGACAGUCAGAGACCAACACAGCACAACACUCAGUGACCCAGACCAAUAUCUCAGCACUCAGAGAAGUGCACCUUUAUGCUCAGAGGCUGAACAGAGACAGAGAAUCUUAUAACCUAAUAAUGUCAUAAUAUUAAAGCAAUCGUCUGGUGAAGCAAAUAAAUAAAACAUAACAACUAAAUUCUCCUAUUAUAAAUCAGGAUUGCUCAAACUGAAAGUUUCCUCUACUCUUUGAAAAAUUCAGAAUAAAGAAGAAUAUAGGACGACAUUCAGGAUAUAACUUUAAGGCUUCUUCAAGCUGAAUUCCUAAGUGAGACUGCAGCCCUGAUAAUGCUCUACAAUUUACUCCAGUGUCUUAGAUGCCUCAUACUCGCUAUAAGAAGGGCUGCAGAGCACUACUCCAUGGUGUGGCUGUACCCACCACAUUCAUGCAACCGCUCUCCUACGUAUGAGCAUCCAGGCUGUUCCCAAUAUUUUACAAUUACAAACAAUGCUGCAAGGAAUAACUCUGUGCCUAUGAAUGUUCAUAUUUUUGGAGGUGCAUCUCUAAGAAUAUCAGCCUGUGCUACGUGAUACAAGCGAAACACGGUCAGCCACAAGACACAUCAUUUUCCUAUAUUAGUACAGGAAGGGAGUUCUGAUCUACCAGGCGACCUUGGUUUCAUCCAGCUGCUUCUCAUAAUGGCGCACCUAAGGUCAGGAAGCAAAACCGCCACCAUGUUAUUCAACUCAAGGCCAUGGAAAGGUGAUGGGGGUGCUGCCGCACCUUCAGGAUCUCCUGGCUGUUCUCAAUGCCCUCUUCCUGCCAGGUGUCGAGAAUUUUCUCCACUGAGGCAUAGCCCAUCCCAUCAUCCAGGCAGGAGAAGACCCGAAAGCCAAUGGUACUCAUCAUCGCUGAUGGGGUUGUGGUACGUCGUCCACUCUCAUCGAAGGACUGGAAGAAGAGAGAGACUUGAGCAAGCUCAGGAAUUUCAACAAGACCUUGGUGAGGACUGAAACUGGUCCGUCCUGACCACGAUGAGCAGAAAGCAUGUUUCCAUAAUUGACACUGCUGCAAAAAAGUCACGCAGCCCCUUUGAUCUCCUUUUCCAAGUGAGGCAAGAAUGCAAAGCUUAUCAAAAACAAUUGAUCUGGCAGAGAGUUCCUUGACAUAGACGAGAUGUGUCUCUACUUAACACCAGGUUUCGUCUGACCCACAGCUGACAUUAAGGGGCAUAAUUAGUGGUCUUCCCACUCUGUAAUUUAUGGUCAUUUCUCAAACCCAACUUUUCCUUCCCAAUAGUUUAGUCUUUCUUUCCGACUCUCCUUUUGCUUCUCUCUUUCUCAUCAGCAUUUUUCUUCAGACAGCAGAUUAAUUCAUUAGAAAUUACUGAAAUGGGUUUUAACUUCUACUCACAAAGAAACCAUUUCUUACCUGCAUGGAGAGGUGCCUUUUCAACUGUCGAUAUGGAGUAGACGCUGACGGUGGAAGGGAUUUUCCAUUUUUGAACAAGCCGUAGAAAAAGUCUUCCACGCUCAUUGUACCAUCAGGAUCAAGAUUAUGGAAGACUUCCUCGAGCAUCUAGAAAACGAACAAGGUGAGCUCCUCAAAGACAGACCCUUCAUGACUACUUCCUAGGGAAAAAAAAGGAUGGAGUCUCUGGAACAAGCUGCAGGAAGCCCUAGUAUGGCUGUUCCUAGCCUGUGGCCAGUGCAGCUUUCAUCAUGAUUAUUAUUCUUGAAUAAAAAUUUGAUGCAA